AUUGAACGCUGGCGGCAGGCCUAACACAUGCAAGUCGAACGGUAACAGGAAACAGCUUGCUGCUUCGCUGACGAGUGGCGGACGGGUGAGUAAUGUCUGGGAAACUGCCUGAUGGAGGGGGAUAACUACUGGAAACGGUAGCUAAUACCGCAUAACGUCGCAAGACCAAAGAGGGGGACCUUCGGGCCUCUUGCCAUCGGAUGUGCCCAGAUGGGAUUAGCUAGUAGGUGGGGUAACGGCUCACCUAGGCGACGAUCCCUAGCUGGUCUGAGAGGAUGACCAGCCACACUGGAACUGAGACACGGUCCAGACUCCUACGGGAGGCAGCAGUGGGGAAUAUUGCACAAUGGGCGCAAGCCUGAUGCAGCCAUGCCGCGUGUAUGAAGAAGGCCUUCGGGUUGUAAAGUACUUUCAGCGGGGAGGAAGGGAGUAAAGUUAAUACCUUUGCUCAUUGACGUUACCCGCAGAAGAAGCACCGGCUAACUCCGUG
rnacentral:rRNA from 1 species